rnacentral:lncRNA from 1 species
GGGCUCCGCAGCCGCGCGGACCGAGCGCCCGCCCCCGCCCGGGCUCCGCCCCCCGCGCGAGGCUCCGCCCCCCCGCCUCUCCGGCUCGCUCGCACGCGGGUGGAAGCAACACCCGGAGCCGGGAUCCCGGCCGGGGUCGGGAUGAAAGGGUGCAAGCCGGGAGCUCCCCGCCCUUCUCCCCCCCACCCCGGCCGCUCCCGGCCGCCUCGGGCUUGGCCAGCCUGGCGGAAAGAGGGGGAAGGGAAGAGCCACGGGUCCGCAGCUGCCGCUGUCGAGACGCCGGCAGGCUCGCAGGGCCGCGCAGCCGGUCCACUCCCCCUGGUACGAAACGGCCGUCGUGGGAAGUAGGAAGUUUCCCCGCCUCCACUUCUACUCGGGUCGCCGCUUCUCAGCAAGGUGGCCAGGGUACGGGGCAGCCGGAGGCUGCGAGGAGCCACGAGGAAGGGCUUUGACAGCAUUACUGGGGGCUCUGUAUCCAAGAAUCCGAUCCAGGGCUCCCUAUUCUUUCGGGGAAACUGCAUUUCUCUGCCCCCUCCCCACACACACACACGCACACACACGCACACACCCUUGCACGCACAACACGCCCCUCCCGGUCCUGAUUUCAUUCUUGCUCUCCCUCCUGGCACAAGAACCCCGCGCGCGACAUCCCACUGAAUGGACUUCCAGCCUCCCAGUCCUAAAGCCCAGAGAGGGGCGCCGAGAGUCCUCCGAAGCUCCGAAGCUACGGAAGGACGGCAGACCGAGCCGAGGAGAAUGCAAAAAGAAGGUAGCGGUUACACAGCAGCGUCCCCGGCGAAGAAGUAAGAAACGUUCGCUCUCGGAGCUUCAGAAGUUCACUGCGAAGCUGGGGUCCUGCCGCCUUAUCACGGCGGGGAUGAGCCUCACCCUGCACGUUUGCACCGAUAGGAGAUCGUAUCUGGUUCUGAUGUCAAUGUCACUACCGUGUCGGAGAAGAACGUUAUAUGAUAAAAUAUUUUCUAAUAUCCUCGAGACCAUUAAAGUGUCAAAGUUUAAUGCCAAUCCUUGUAGCUCGAAUGCUGCUCGGUUCUUCCUCUGA